AUGGCCGGCGCUCAGAGCAAGGACCGAUAUGCUAGGAAGCUGCUGCUUCUCUUGCUGUGCGGCGGCUACUAUUCUGUCGUUGCUCGUGCAGCCGAUGAUGCACGUAGCUAUAAGGUUCUCGCCGUCGGCUCACUCAAGGCUGAAGUCGUCUGCUCAGUAACUCCAGCGCCGUCCAGUGGAGCUACGGUGCCGCUAAACCACCGGCAUGGCCCGUGCUCGCCGGCGCCAUCCGCAAAGGUGCCAACCAUCCUGGAGCUGCUCCAGCAUGACCAACUCCGAGCCAAGUACAUCCAACGGAGGUGGUCUGGGAAGAAGGGCACCGACGACCUCCAGCCGUUGGACCUCACCCUGCCGACUACCCUGGGAACUGCCCUGGACACGCUGGAGUAUGUUAUCACCAUCGGCAUCGGCUCCCCGGCGGUGACCCAGACCAUGAUGAUCGACACCGGCAGCGACGUGUCAUGGGUGCGCUGCAACUCCACGGACGGGACGACGCUCUUCGAUCCCAGCAAGUCGACCACGUACGCCCCGUUCUCUUGCAGCUCCGCGGCGUGCACACAGCUUGGAAACAAUGGCAACAACUGCUCAAACUCGCAGUGCCAGUACAUGGUCCAGUACGGCGACGGCUCCAACACCACCGGCACGUACGGCUCCGACACGCUGGCGCUAAGCGCCUCGGACACGGUCAAGGGUUUCCAGUUCGGUUGCAGUCACCACGAGGAGGGCUUCAACCGCGAAAAAUUCGACGGGCUCAUGGGGCUCGGCGGCGACGCGCAGUCGCUCGUGUCGCAGACGGCGGCGACGUACGGCAAGUCCUUCUCGUACUGCCUCCCGCCGACCAACCGCACAUCCGGGUUUCUCACCUUCGGCGCGCCGAACGUGACGUCCGCCUUCGUGACGACGCCGAUGCUCAGAUGGCCACGGGUGCCGACGUUCUACGGCGUGCUUCUCCAGGACAUAUCCGUGGGCGGAACUCUGCUCGGAAUACAGCCCACCGUCCUCUCCAACGGAUCGGUGAUGGACUCUGGUACUAUCCUCACGCGGCUACCACGGAGGGCCUACUCGGCGCUCUCGUCGGCGUUCAGAUCCGGCAUGACCCGGUACCCGCGGGCGGCCCCCGUCGGCAUCCUGGACACCUGCUACGACUUCACCGGGCUAAGAAACUUCUCUGUCCCGACCGUCGAGCUGGUGUUCGACGGCGGCGCGGUCAUGGACCUCGAUUAUGACGGGAUCAUGAUCUCAGACUGCCUCGCGUUCGCUGCCACCAGCGGCGUUAGCAUCAUCGGCAACGUGCAGCAACGGACGUUCGAAGUGCUGCACGACGUCGGCCAGGGCGUUUUUGGCUUCCGGUCAGGCGCGUGCUCAUAG
rnacentral:rRNA from 1 species